rnacentral:tRNA from 1 species
UCCCCGGUAGCUCAAUGGCAGAGCGGCGCCCUGUUAAGGCGAAGGUUGCAGGUUCGAGCCCUGCCCGGGGAGCCA